rnacentral:rRNA from 1 species
AGUGAACGCUGGCGGUAGGCCUAACACAUGCAAGUCGAGCGGCAGCACAGUAAGAGCUUGCUCUUACGGGUGGCGAGUGGCGGACGGGUGAGGAAUACAUCGGAAUCUACUUUGUCGUGGGGGAUAACGUAGGGAAACUGACGCUAAUACCGCAUACGACCUACGGGUGAAAGCAGUGGAUCUUCGGACCUUGCGCGAUUGAAUGAGCCGAUGUCGGAUUAGCUAGUUGGCGAGGUAAAGGCCCACCAAGGCGACGAUCCGUAGCUGGUCUGAGAGGAUGAUCAGCCACACUGGAACUGAGACACGGUCCAGACUCCUACGGGAGGCAGCAGUGGGGAAUAUUGCACAAUGGGCGCAAGCCUGAUCCAGCUAUACCGCGUGGGUGAAGAAGGCCUUCGGGUUGUAAAGCCCUUUUGUUGGGAAAGAAAAGCAGCAGGUUAAUCCCCCGCUGUUCUGACGGUACCCAAAGAAUAAGCACCGGCUAACUUCGUG